UUAUCACGGCGCAAUUCCAUUCCUAAAGAAAAACGCCCUAAUUCCUAAAUUCUCAAUUUGGCCCUCUUAAAUAAAAAGUAAAAUGAACAAAACUCUCCAAUGGCGUUCUCUGCAACUGAUUUCUUGAUUUUACGAUUGCAAACUGUUUGAUGGAUUCACCAAGCCAAAACCCUAAUCCUCCAACCUCUAAUCAGCUCGACGUUUCUCACCAAUCCGCUGUUCAUCCCAAUUCUCCAUGUUCCAACCCCACUGCCGCUCGUCACUCCAAUUUGAAUCCCAACAUUGUGCAAAACCAUAGUUCAGAUGCCAAUUCAGUCCAUGAUCACUUCCUUUCUGCGGCGAUACCGAAAGGUAAAAGGCGCGGCCGGUCCCGGAACUUGACGUCGCCCCAAAACCUUGUAAGGCUGUCAACUCUGUCUCUCAAUUGCGGCGUGAGUAAUGCAGGGGCUUCUUUGGUAGGUUCUAGUUCAGGUCAGGUUAAUAGGGCUCAGCUGCAAAACCGAGGCAAUUUAGUGUCGAAGAAACAUGGCUCUAGUUCAAAUUCUGCUACUCCGACCAAGAAAAGUGUGGACGACAUGUCAGAUGAGAUAAUCGUGAUAAAUAAGGAUGCCACAGCUGAGGCCUUGAUUGCGCUUACAUCCGGGUUCCCGGCUGAUUCGCUUACUGACGAGGAAAUAGAUUACGGGGUUGUGUCUGUGGUGGGAGGAAUAGAACAGGUUAACUAUAUAUUGAUUAGGAAUCAUAUAAUUACUAAGUGGCGUGAGAAUGUGUCGAGUUGGAUAACGAAGGAAAUGUUCGUAGACAUUGUCCCAAAGCAUUGCGGGCCACUGUUGGAUAAGGCUUAUGGUUACUUAGUUUCACACGGGUAUAUUAACUUUGGGGUGGCGCCUGAAAUAAAGGAGAGGAUUUUGGUUGACCCAAAACAACCUAGUGUGAUAGUGGUUGGGGCUGGGCUUGCAGGUUUGGCUGCUGCAAGGCAGUUGAUGGCUUUUGGUUUUAAGGUUACUGUUCUAGAGGGUAGGAAGCGUGCUGGAGGGAGAGUGUAUACAAAGAAAUUAGAAGGUAACAAUAAGAUGGCAGCUGUGGAUUUGGGGGGGAGUGUGCUAACAGGCACUCUGGGGAAUCCACUUGGGAUUUUGGCUAGGCAAUUGUCGUUCUCACUUCACAAGGUGAGGGAUAAGUGCCCCCUAUAUAGAGUGGAUGGGACACCUGUCGAUCCUGUUUCGGAUCGGAAAGUAGAGGCUGGUUUCAAUCAGCUUUUAGACAAAUUAAGUAAAAACAGGCAGUUAAUGGGGGAGGUUUCACAGGAUGUGUCUCUUGGGGCUGCUUUGGAGACGUUCAGGGACCCCUUAGAUGAAGAGGAAAUAAACUUAUUUAAUUGGCAUCUCGCAAACUUGGAAUAUGCAAAUGCCAGUCUACUGUCUAGGCUUUCAUUAGCCUUUUGGGAUCAAGAUGAUCCAUAUGAUAUGGGAGGGGACCAUUGCUUUCUGCCAGGUGGAAAUGGAAGACUGGUUCAUGCAUUAUUAGAGAAUGUUACUAUUCAUUAUGAUAAAAUUGUCAAGGCCAUCCGUUAUGGCAGUGAUGGGGUGCAGGUUGUUGUUGGUGGGGGCCAAGUUUACGAGGGUGAUAUGGUUCUUUGCACCGUACCCCUGGGGGUUCUGAAAAGUCGGUCUAUUGAGUUUAUCCCUGAGUUGCCUCAGAGGAAGCUUGACGCAAUAAGGAGGUUGGGAUUUGGCUUGUUAAACAAGGUUGCUUUGCUCUUUCCCCAUGCAUUUUGGGGAACCGAUCUAGAUACAUUUGGCCAUCUCUCUGAUCAUCCUAGCCGACGAGGAGAGUUCUUUCUUUUCUAUAGCUAUGCAACCGUUGCUGGUGGUCCACUUUUGAUAGCUUUAGUAGCAGGAGAAGCUGCUUACCGGUUUGAGAUUGCAGAUCCUACUGAUUCCGUGCAAAGGGUGCUUCGGAUUCUUAGAGACAUAUAUGAGCCACAAGGCAUUGAAGUCCCAGAUCCUAUUCAAACUGUCUGCACAAGAUGGGGAGGUGACCCCUUAAGUUGUGGUUCUUACUCGAAUGUUUCAGUUGGAGCGUCAGGAGAUGACUAUGAUAUUUUAGCAGAAAGUGUGGGGGAUGGGAGACUUUUCUUUGCUGGUGAAGCUACCAAUCGACGCUAUCCAGCAACCAUGCACGGUGCUUUGCUUAGUGGGUUCAGAGAAGCUGCCAAUAUGGCUCACUAUACUAGAGUUAGAGCAUUGAAAGUAAAAGUUGAGAAGAGUCCAUCACAAAAUGCACAUACAUGUGCUUCUAUUCUUGCAGAUUUAUUCAGGCAGCCUGAUGUGGAAUUUGGCAGUUUUGCCGUACUAUUUAGUAGAAAGAAUGCUGAUUCAAUGGCAAUUUUGAGGGUUACAUUUGGUGGACACCGAAAGAAACCAGAUCAGCAGUUCUCUAACAAGUUACUUUUUGAGCAGCUUCACUCUCAUUUCAAUCAGCAGCAGGAGUUUCAUGUUUACACACUGCUACCUAAGCAACAAGCCCUCGAGCUGAGAGAGCUUAGGGGAGGUGACGAGACUAGGCUAAAUUACCUUGAGAAGGUUGGUGUGAAGCUGGUUGGAAGAAAGGGUUUGGGGCCAUCUGCGGAUUCCAUAAUUGCUUCGGUUAAGGCUGAGAGGAGCAGCCGCAGGCGCAGCCGUAACCGCAAUCCUUCUUCAUCUGCAAUGCCAAAGCCGCGAGUAGUUGCCACCAACCAAAGGCAGAUUAGGAAGGCUAAAAUUAUACGCAACAACAACAUAUUUCCCAGUCCAAGCACGAAUAUCGAAAUUAAAGUUGGCAGCUGUGGUACUAAUGCGGAGUCUAGGAUAUUGGUUAAUAGUAAUGGCUCAGAUACUGGGGCAAGAGCAGUUAUGAAUAAUAAGGACCAACCUCCUCCAAAUUCACAUGAUGGUGCUGACUCUAUAUGUGAAAAUAGAUGCCCCAUCCCUCAAAAUUAUGGGCACAAUAAUGGUAUUACAACUUCUUUGGGUCAUUUAAUUGGGUCAGCGGCAUCAUGCAGCGAUAACAGCCUUGCACCUCUGGAUUCAAAUGAUGUGAUGAUACUAGGUGAUGUACAAAGUUCUAGCCCUUCGAACUUUCUUGCCAGCAGCCUGAUUCCUGCUAGUUCAAGUAGCUUGGAGACAGUUUUAAGCGUUACAGACAGCCUGUCUCUACCAACACAUGUGGAUGUUCAUAUGGGUUUACCGGGUGAUACCAGUGGUUCUAACACUCAGAACUUCCCCAGCAAUAACGACUCAAUUGGUUGUCCGUCAUCUGAAAUUGAGGCCACAGCAGUAAGCAGUAAUUGCAGCUUGGCUCCUUCUAGUUCGAUUGUUCACAGCUUUGGCUCUGAAGACAGUGCUGUGGAUAUUUCUGAUAGCAUUAGCUGUAUAUCUACUCAAGACAACAUAUUUGAAGAUAUCUUGAAUGAAUUGCUUCCUCCUUCUAGUGCAAACUCCAGUACAUGGCAAUUCACAGGAAAAUUGUAGGAGAUGAAGUCGGUGUCAAGGACACUUGUUUCUCUGUGUGGCUGAAUGAAGUAAAGACAACGACAAGCUGAUUAUGCAAUUUGUUCCUGUAGAUAUACGGAUGUAGAAGGAUUCAUAUAUAUUCCUGUGGUGUUGAUAUUUGAGGCUCCGCUCUAUACCAUUAAGCUUAGGCUAUGGAUGCUUUAAAUUCGGUGAGAGAUUUCCCGAGGCGCAGCGUCUGGUUCGUGAAGCGUUGCCAGAAGCCCGAUCUCAACGAAUUUACUAAGGUGGCCGCUCGAACGGCCGUCGGCAUCGUCGUCAUGGGUUUCCUUGCUUUCUUCGUCAAGUUGAUUUUCAUUCCUAUCAACAAUAUUAUCGUUGGCGCUGUCUAGUUAAACUUUUUUUUUUGAAUUCUUUUUAGAAAGAUUGUCACUUAGAGCCUAUGUGGGAAAUUUGUAGUUAUGUUGCAUUUAAUUCUUAACAGUUGGUUAUGUUGCAUUUAAUUGAUUUGUCCAUAAUGAAAUAUACAUGAGUGACCGAAAAGCUUU